UGGGGAAUAUUGCACAAUGGGCGCAAGCCUGAUGCAGCCAUGCCGCGUGUGUGCAGAAGGCCUUCGGGUUGUAAAGCACUUUCAGCGGGGAGGAAGGCGUUAAGGUUAAUAACCUUGGCGAUUGACGUUACCCGCAGAAGAAGCACCGGCUAACUCCGUGCCAGCAGCCGCGGUAAUACGGAGGGUGCAAGCGUUAAUCGGAAUUACUGGGCGUAAAGCGCACGCAGGCGGUCUGUCAAGUCGGAUGUGAAAUCCCCGGGCUCAACCUGGGAACUGCAUUCGAAACUGGCAGGCUAGAGUCUUGUAGAGGGGGGUAGAAUUCCAGGUGUAGCGAUGAAAUGCGUAGAGAUCUGGAGGAAUACCGGUGGCGAAGGCGGCCCCCUGGACAAAGACUGACGCUCAGGUGCGAAAGCGUGGGGAGCAAACAGG
rnacentral:rRNA from 1 species